rnacentral:rRNA from 1 species
GCAAGUCGAGGGGUAACAGGGAUUGCUUGCAAUCCGCUGACGACCGGCGCACGGGUGCGUAACGCGUAUAGAAUCUACCUUGUACUGAGGGAUAGCCCAGAGAAAUUUGGAUUAAUACCUCAUGGUAUGUAGGGAUGGCAUCAUCAUUACAUUAAAGGUUACGGUAUAAGAUGACUAUGCGUCCUAUUAGCUGGAUGGUGUGGUAACGGCACACCAUGGCAACGAUAGGUAGGGGCCCUGAGAGGGGGAUCCCCCACACUGGUACUGAGACACGGACCAGACUCCUACGGGAGGCAGCAGUGAGGAAUAUUGGACAAUGGGGGCAACCCUGAUCCAGCCAUGCCGCGUGCAGGAAGACUGCCCUAUGGGUUGUAAACUGCUUUUAUACAGGAAGAAACACUCCCUCGUGAGGGGGCUUGACGGUACUGUAAGAAUAAGGAUCGGCUAACUCCGUGCCAGCAGCCGCGGUAAUACGGAGGAUCCAAGCGUUAUCCGGAAUCAUUGGGUUUAAAGGGCCCGUAGGUGGAUGAUUAAGUCAGAGGUGAAAUCCUGCAGCUCAACUGUAGAAUUGCCUUUGAUACUGGUCGUCUUGAGUUAUUAUGAAGUAGUUAGAAUAUGUAGUGUAGCGGUGAAAUGCAUAGAUAUUACAUAGAAUACCAAUUGCGAAGGCAGAUUACUAAUAAUCAACUGACACUGAUGGACGAAAGCGUGGGGAGUGAACAGGAUUAGAUACCCUGGUAGUCCACGCCGUANACGAUGGUCACUAGCUGUUCGGACUUCGGUCUGAGUGGCUAAGCGAAAGUGAUAAGUGACCCACCUGGGGAGUACGUUCGCAAGAAUGAAACUCAAAGGAAUUUGACGGGGCCCGCACAAGCGGUGGAGCAUGUGGUUUAAUUCGAUGAUACGCGAGGAACCUACCAGGGCUUA